rnacentral:lncRNA from 1 species
AAGUCCAACCUCCUCACUUUGGAUCCCUAUCAAAGACCCUAUUUACCCCUUUUUCAUCUUCAGAUCUCUAAAACAUUAGAUAGAAUGAGUUACUUACCUCUUUUCCUCAGAAAAAUUGAAGUUCUUGCACCGAGGAAAAGAGAUCACACUCCUUCGUUCUUCUUCCUUUCAGCCGGCAGCACAACUGUUUCCUUUGUAUCUUCGAAUUCUCCUCUGUGCUUUCUCCUCCUUCUCUUCUUCUCUCUUUCCCUUCUCUUCUUCUCUCUUUUCCUUCUCUUCUUCUAUUUUCUGUGUUCUUUCCUCCUCACUGCUGAA